UACGUAGGUGGCAAGCGUUAUCCGGAAUUAUUGGGCGUAAAGAGCGCGCAGGUGGUUAAUUAAGUCUGAUGUGAAAGCCCACGGCUUAACCGUGGAGGGUCAUUGGAAACAGGUUGACUUGAGUGCAGAAGAGGGAAGUGGAAUUCCAUGUGUAGCGGUGAAAUGCGUAGAGAUAUGGAGGAACACCAGUGGCGAAGGCGGCUUCCUGGUCUGCAACUGACACUGAGGCGCGAAAGCGUGGGGAGCAAACAGG
rnacentral:rRNA from 1 species